rnacentral:rRNA from 1 species
ACUACGGGUGGCAGCAGUGGGGAAUAUUGGGCAAUGGGCGCAAGCCUGACCCAGCAACGCCGCGUGAAGGAAGAAGGCUUUCGGGUUGUAAACUUCUUUUCUGAGGGACGAAGAAAGUGACGGUACCUCAGGAAUAAGCCACGGCUAACUACGUGCCAGCAGCCGCGGGAAUACGUAGGUGGAAAGCGUUAUCCGGAUUUAUUGGGUGUAAAGGGCGUGUAGGCGGGAAAGCAAGUCAGAUGUGAAAACUCAGGGCUCAACCCUUGGCCUGCAAUUGAAACUGGUUUUCUUGAGUGCUGGAGAGGCAAGCGGAAUUCCGUGUGUAGCGGUGAAAGGCGUAGAUAUACGGAGGAACACCAGUGGCGAAGGCGGAUUGCUGGACAGUAACUGACGCUGAGGCGCGAAAGCGUGGGGAGCAAACAGGAUUAGAUACCCGGGUAGUC